rnacentral:tRNA from 1 species
GAGAAAGACAUAGUGGCUAUGAAAUUGGCUUGAAACCAGUUGUUGGGGGUUCGAAUCCUUCCUUUCUUA